AUACCCAGGGAAGCUCAGAAAUAUAAGAGAAUGAACCCUAUGUCGGCACUAGGUGGAUAAAACCUCGCUAGCCAGUCGGGAUAGGGCACUCUCUAUCAGAAUGGAUGUCUUGUCACUACAAUAGAUAGAGAAGGUUGUAGUGGACUAUAGAUUGCUUAGUUGAAAAUUAUUGUUGAUCAUGUAUAGUGUUGGAGCAGGUGAAAGAUGUGCGUACAUAAGUGACGACACGUGCCCAUGUGGAAGAGCCAGCAUGUUAAGUGAUCAGUAAUAGAUUAGUAAAUGGAUGAAGGUAAUCAUGGCCAAUUGGAAGAAUAAC
rfam:Betacoronavirus HKT24 strain HKT24-R05005I, complete genome